AUUGAACGCUGGCGGCAGGCCUAACACAUGCAAGUCGAGCGGGAACUUCGGUUCUAGCGGCGGACGGGUGAGUAAUGCGUAGGAAGCUACCCGACAGAGGGGGAUACCAGUUGGAAACGACUGUUAAUACCGCAUAAUGUCUACGGACCAAAGUGUGGGACCUUCGGGCCACAUGCUGUCGGAUGCGCCUACGUGGGAUUAGCUAGUUGGUGAGGUAAUGGCUCACCAAGGCGACGAUCCCUAGCUGGUUUGAGAGGAUGAUCAGCCACACUGGAACUGAGACACGGUCCAGACUCCUACGGGAGGUAGCAGUGGGGAAUAUUGGACAAUGGGCGAAAGCCUGAUCCAGCCAUGCCGCGUGUGUGAAGAAGGCCUUCGGGUUGUAAAGCACUUUCAGUAGGGAGGAAGAGUUGAGUGUUAAUAAUACUCAGCUUUGACGUUACCUACAGAAGAAGCACCGGCUAACUCUGUGCCAGCAGCCGCCGUAAUAC
rnacentral:rRNA from 1 species